rnacentral:rRNA from 1 species
AUUGAACGCUGGCGGCAGGCCUAACACAUGCAAGUAGAACGCAGUUUCGAACGGGUGAGUAACGCGUAGGUAACUUCCUCAUAGCGGGGGAUAACUAUUGGAAACGAUAGCUAAUACCGCAUCCUGUGAGAUGGACCUGCUUUGUAUUAGCUAGUUGGUGAGGUAAAGGCUCACCAAGGCGACGAUACAUAGCCGGCCUGAGAGGGUGAUCGGCCACCAUGGGACUGGGACACGGCCCAGGCUCCUUCGGGAGGCAGGAGUAGGGAAUCUUCGGAAAUGGACGGCAGUCUGAACGAGCAACGGCGGGUGAGUGAAGAAGGUUUUCGGAUCGUAAAGCUCUGUUGUUAGAGAAGCGGUAACUACCCAGAAAGGGACGGCUAACUACGUGCCAGCAGCCGCGGUAAUAC